rnacentral:rRNA from 1 species
UACAGAGGGUGCGAGCGUUAAUCGGAAUUACUGGGCGUAAAGCGCACGUAGGCGGCUUGGUAUGUCGGGUGUGAAAUCCCCGGGCUCAACCUGGGAACUGCAUCCGAAACUGCCUUGCUAGAGUAUGGGAGAGGGAAGUGGAAUUUCCGGUGUAGCGGUGAAAUGCGUAGAUAUCGGAAGGAACAUCAGUGGCGAAGGCGACUUCCUGGGCCAAUACUGACGCUCAGGUGCGAAAGCGUGGGGAGCAAACAGG